GGAAGGGCAAUCCGAUCGGCGACGGUAUCCGGUUGCUAGCCGGGCGAGCAUCUUGAUGGUGCCUUGAGGGUUCGACUCCCUCUCCUUCCGC
rnacentral:tRNA from 4 species